rnacentral:lncRNA from 1 species
GCAACUUUAUCCAAGAGUCAAAUGAUGUUUAUUAUGGCAUGACAAAAACAGGCUGUUUUGAUAAAUUACUUUAUUGCUUGGAGGUAACAUGAAACUUUUCAACUAGAGGCCCCAUCCCUAUUCACCCUUGAGGUUUUGUAGGAUAUUGAAAAUGUAGCAGUAUUGUUCACAUAUUUUAAAGGCUGUGGAAAACCAAAUAGCAUUUAACUGAUCUAAAAAUAAGGAGCAAAACUCCACUGUGCCACAGUACAGAACAUCACACAGUUGUGAAAUAGAGUAAGCUGAACAGCAGCAUAGAGCUGCAGCCUGACUGCAGUUCCUGCUGAAAGAAUAAAUCCCCCUACUUCCUCUGCCUGAGCACACGCUCCCCAUGCUAAAUGCAGGCACUUACUGACCUUGCCAAGAGUCAGCUAAGGGAGCUAACCCAGCAAUAAACAAAUUGUGACUGCCCCUUUAAGUUACAGUUCACUGUAAAAUGUAAAGCCACGUCCUGAGGUCUAUGACUAUUCUGCUAGUCUUGGAAAGAAUUCUCCGCCUUACAUUCCCUGUCUCUAAAAAGCUCUGCUUCUCUUCUACAUCACUAAGGCAUUCAGCUUAUUAUAUACAUUCUUAGAAACUAGCUGGAAAGCAAUUAUGGUUUACUGAAAUGAAAUAGCUCCAUAAUGGAAAGUUAGCAGACCAGUGUGUAAUACAACAUUCACUAAACAGAAUGUAACACUUAGAUCAGAGGGUAGAAAUUUACACUGAACCGACUCACCUAUAGCAGAUUAGUAAAUACAAACUCUGAUUUUUAAAGCAGAAGAGGAACUUUCUCUGCAAGUACUCACAAGGUUGCUCAAAUACAGAUGAGCAAACUUUAUUUUUAAGAGAGAAGUAAGAGCAAUUUAAGGCCGAAGUACUAGCAAAGGAAGACUAAUAGGUGAAAGUAGACAACAAUUUCUUAAUAAAAUUGUGCAGGCAUUUGCAAGGUUAUGCCUCUAUUAGCUAACCUGUAAAGCUGUUCCCAGGAAAAGAUACUAGAGAAAAUAGACAUUUAUACAAAAUUAUAAAAUACUUGUUAUAUGAAUUAUUGCUUUACAAAGGACAUAAGCAUCCUUUUUCUAUGAUAGUACCAAUUAGGUCUCUCAAAAUUUCUAAGGUUUGUUAAAAAUGGAACUUGAAUUAUGCAAAAAAUCCAAUAUAAACUUUCUACAAAAAAGUCCAUCCCAUUCCUGAGUAUGCUAAAGCUAUGAGAGUCAGAAGAAGCGCUGAGGAAGCAGCAGUCCUCACAGUAAGAAAUUUAAGGACAUUUUCUUUCUACACAUUGUUUCCCUCCUUCUUCAUAUUCUUGUUUAGAAAUCCACAUUUGUUGAAAAGUACCCAAAGAAGCCAAAAUUGAACCACCGAUCCAUGAGCUGAACCUCCGCUCCACUGUGGUGUUGUUUGCUAUCAAUUUCAGACGCAUGCUCGGUGGAGUUUUCUGAGACAGCUCUCUGUUCAACCUGUCUGUGAAACUCUGUAUUAGUGUGUUCCCUCCUGCUACAAUCACACUGCCAUAGAGGCCCGGCCUGAUGUCUAUAUCACACAUCCCAACACUUGUCGUGACAACGUGACUCACUCCCAACAUCGUGUUACCAGACAAGCCCUUUACAUUAGAAGGGUCAAAUAAUCCCUCAGGAAUUUUUAGACGCUCAGCACCAAAGUCACAGUUAUAGCCAUUGGGGAACUCAUAAUGAACCGUUGGCAUCUGUGCAGCUACCUGUUCAUCAUAGGUUGAAUCUGACACUUGGAGGACGGAAGCUUGGAAGUCCUGAAUGACACAAUUACACAUGUAGUUGUGCCAAGACCUGGUGACCUGGGGUAACUUCUCUUUUCUCUUCCAAUUUGCUGGUGACCCCUCACGAACUGCCUCCUUUGAAGCAAUCAUAUAUGGAGGAAUUAACUCUAUAUUCAUUUCC